rnacentral:rRNA from 1 species
UACGUAGGUGGCAAGCGUUAUCCGGAAUUAUUGGGCGUAAAGAGCGCGCAGGUGGUUGAUUAAGUCUGAUGUGAAAGCCCACGGCUUAACCGUGGAGGGUCAUUGGAAACUGGUCGACUUGAGUGCAGAAGAGGCAAGUGGAAUUCCAUGUGUAGCGGUGAAAUGCGUAGAGAUAUGGAGGAACACCAGUGGCGAAGGCGGCUUCCUGGUCUGUAACUGACACUGAGGCGCGAAAGCGUGGGGAGCAAACAGGAUUAGAUA